rnacentral:rRNA from 1 species
AUGGAAGCAGAACUCACAGCACUAGAUACAGCUACGCUCGAAGCAGAUUGGCUUCGUCGGCUCUUGAAUGACUUGCCGGUAGUUGAGAAACCUGUACCGGGUAUCCUUAUGAACUGUGACAAUCAAACUGUGAUCACGAAAGUGAACAGUUCUAAGGAUAGUAUGAAGUCAUCAAGACACGUUCAGAGAAGGUUAAAGUCUGUCAGAAAAAUGAGAAACUCCGGAGUUAUUGCAUUGGAUUAUAUCCAAACGUCUAAAAAUCUGGCAGAUCCUUUUACUAAGGGUCUAUCACGUAAUGUGAUAGAUAAUGCAUCGAGGGAGAUGGGUAUGAGACUAACA